GAUGCCACAAUAUUUAUUUUUUGAGUCUAUGAUAGUGUAUCAUAAGCAUUUCCUAAUGGGAUUUAAGUAAAUAGACUUAAAUUCAGUUAUCGCUGGGGCCACUGACGGAUUGUGUUUCAUAUUUUAGAUUUACCUAACAUGAGUGACGUUAUAUUCUGUGACGUAAUUUAGUCCUUUACAGAAUUUCAUCGCAGCAAGCAAGCUGUUUAAAUUUCGUAAGCGGUAAAAUUGAAAAAAUUGAAAAGUAGUAUCUUGUAAAUGGUAAAGUAGUGUUUGUAUUGUAUGGUUAUAACCUGCCUCAUGCUUCCAAUGUUUAUUAGAAGUAAUCUUAAAAAGAAUUCAUUUUAUCGAUCGUCAGUUUUUUAACCAUAUUCCAUCAGGAAUUUCAUCGCCACGUGGAGAGCACAUGCAAAGACUGAAAGAGAUUGGUCCCAUUAUUAGUUUUCAUUUUUAUAAAUUAUUUAAUUUUUACAAAUAUGAGUAAUUAGAUGCAUUAUUGUCCUAAGAUUUGCAGAUUAUAAUAAUGAUUUCGUCAUUGUAUUUCUACAUCAAAUUAGAUGCAUGUAUAUAGUCUGACUGGUACUGAUAUUAAGGUACUCAUAUAUAUAUAUAUGACGACUACUUUGAUAGUCGAGUUUGGCAUAUUUUAACACCGUUAUUGCUAGGAUUUCAUACUCCUGUGGCCUAACAAUUGUAUUUGCGCUGUAACAGAUCAUGCAGGUUAGUAACGUGUCUUUAAUGGUUAUGUGUUGUGGGGCAGGCGUUAUCUGAUGUACUCCCGAAUUAUAAUUAAAUUUUCCUUAAAAGGGUAUACAUCGGUAAUUGUGUAUCUAGAUCUUUCAUAGCACAUAUACAGCAAAUAUUCCAUGAAAGGAUAUGAACGUACAAAGGUGUAAAAGGGACGUACCCUUUGGGGCGAAAGGACCCAGGUUCGUAACCGAAAGUUCAACUUUCGAUACAAAUAAACAAAAAUCUUGGAAAUCUUGCACAUAGACCAUGCCCGGAGUUAAGAAGCAGUAGCCAAAAAUCGUCAUGUCUAAAUGUUAGCUUGCUGGUGGAGUUAAGCAAACAUAUAUCAUUAUCUGUAUAUAUCCUGCUAUAAAUUUUGCGUGUACCUACACACUUGUUACUAAAAACUGUCAGAGUGUCGAGUCUGUCACAUCAGUCAUCAUAGUGACAUGUAUAGUUGCUACUACUCUCUAGCCUAGACUAGGUCGAUAUGCACAAUGUUGGGAAGAUCAGUUAGAAAGCGAAAAGUGCGACCUUGCUCUGCCACAGAACACCACCAGGGUUGUAACAGUUGGACCAGAGACAUAGACAACAAUGACACAUCAGUUUUUACAAAUGGGUCACCAGACUGAACUGGAUUCACGACUCAUAACGCCACCAACUCAACUCCUUUAGGUCACAUAUAUUUGUACAUUGGAUCAUCAUCAGACGUCAUUUAUGCAAACCCCCAGAGCUCUGCAUUAGUAUGUUCCAGUUCACAGUUGAUAAUUUACCAGGUAAUCAUCAGAUUUACAAAAGCAGUAUGUUACUUUUAAGUUAAACCUCUACAUGUACAUGUGAUUCUAACAUAUAACAAACAUAUGUAUAAAGAUUAAGGCAACUUUUAUUUUUUUUUCCAAUCUUAUGGUUUAGAUUUAAAAGAUUGUGUAAUAAUUAUAUCUCAGUUUCUAAACUUAAAUCCACAAAAUAUUGCUGAAUGUGUUAUUUUUACAAUUUAUAGGGGAUGCCACUUCAUGCGUUAGAAAUAAAAAACAAUUCUUAAAUAUAAGGUUACAAUUAUAUAUUAUUAUAAAUAUAUUACAUGUGAAACUUUUAAAUGUUGUUUUGUAUAUUAUCAUAUGAUUUGUGACAUAUGAUUUGUAAUGGAGAACACUAUUGACUAAUAUAAUAUUAUUUAUCUUGAUACAUAAUCUGAAUAUUACAAAUCGAUAUGCAUGUACUGCAUGAAUACAGAUGUUGCAAUAAAGUACCACAAUUAUAAAGGACAAAAUUUAUAGAAGUGUAUAUUUAUUGAUCACUAUUUUAGGACAGACUGCAAAUAUUUCUGUUUGUCCAAACCCUACCAACAAGUCUCAGGUGUGUGGGAAAUUUUCAUUAUUUUUAAUUUUAUUUUUUUUAUAUAUUUAAUGGAAAAUAGGGGCCAAAAUGGUUUUAUUUUGUAAACAUUUUUAAAAUGAGACUAUUACAGAGUUUUGUGUAAAUUGUCAGACGCAGAUAAGCGAGGAUAUAUACAUGUAUGUACAUGUAAUAUUAGCACAAACUAGUACAAUUUAAGUAAUUAUUUACAGCUUGUCUUGCAGUCUGCUCCAAACCAGUUAAAAAUCUUUAGUAUUUAGGUGUCGACAACAGCUUUAAUUUAUAUAUAUACUAGAUUUUAUUGUAAUCUUUAUCCUGAAAGAUUCUAGGAGUUGCUCAAAUAGAUGAGUAUCUUAUGCUGUACAUUUAGGGGCCAAGCUUUGUUAAUUUUAGGCUGGAAGCAUUAUGACAACAAUUUCAUUUGCAUAAAACCAUUGGCCCUACUGGUUGCUGGGCUACUGUUGAUUCCAAAUUAUGGUUGAUAUUUAUUAAUGAAAAUUAUAGUACAGGUUGAAUUUCAGUUAGCAUGAACACCGGGACUAAUUUGAAAUGUUAUGCUUUUAAUUAUGAGGGUACCUAGAUGUUGUUAAGCAGCUUGUUUGUGUGUCAUCCUUUAUAACUUGUUGGUUGUCCUAACAGGAGACAUUAACCAUGUUUACUUUGCAUAAUCUAGGCCUUCUUAUGAUAUUCCAAGUUUCAGGUCACCUAGACCUCGAAUGGAAAUAAGUUUUCAUUUGGGCAACCUGGUUCAAACCCAAGACGAGACAGAGAGUGGUUGCUGCUGUUAUACUAAAUGUUUGUUUCUUCUUACAUAGAUUUAGACUCUAGUAUACAGGUCCUCAUAGUCAUUCUUUGAAAUUUGCAUUUGCCUGAGUUGAUCCAGUUCUUCUUGCCUUGUAUUUAUGGGCAGUUUUAUUACAUUAUAAGAAAUUCACUUCUACAUAGACAUCUUACACAUUCAGGUAUUUCCCAUCCAAUCUUUUAUGGUAAUAUACCUUACAAAGUACAAAAUGUCAGUUUACCUCAAAAGCUAACAAAACAUUAAAGCAAACUUAUAAAGAAGGAAUACUGUUGCCUGCAUAAAAAAUGGCAUAUUUUGGCUUCAAUAUUGAUUCACUUGCACAGUCUUUGCAUCGGACAAAAACUCAUUUAUUCUUAAACCAGUUGCUGGUUGAUACGGGUUAUGUUCCUCUAAUAUAUGUUAUGAUGAUAUGAUACUAAACCCCCAUUGGAGGGAUGGUGCUAGAUAUUUCAUAUAAUGAAGACAUAAUCUUUCGAACAGUUAAAUUGAGGUCUGGAGCUGGCAUGUCAGUAACUGUUAGUAGUCCAUUGUUGAUUUAUGUAAUGUCGUCAUUUUUCAAUUUUUGUUUUGUUUGUUUUGUUACCUAUUCUGAUAUUGGACUCGGACUUCUUUAAACUGUGUGAUUUUUACUGUGCGUAUUACUGUGUGUUUGUUUGCUCUGCAUUUGGUUGAGAUUUUAAAUAACUUGUUUAACCCCUGCGCAAUUUAGUACCUGUUCCAAGUCUGGAGCCUCUGGCCUAUGUUAGCCUUGUAUGAAUUUUUAUUUUAGUUCAUAUAUUUGGGAGUUUAGUAUGACAUUCAUUAUCACUGUUCUGGUACAAAUUUUUCAUUAUGGCUGAAGCCAUUUCUGGUUUUUAGGUGGAUCGCGUCAGAUGCUUGUUCCCAACUGCAGAUGUUUAUCCUGCUAUAACCCCACGGGUUUUAUUACUGUUAUUUCAGACCUUUAGUAACCAUUUAAUUGUAAGUUCCACAGCACCCAGUACAUACAGAUGUAUCAGAGAGGACAGUCUUUCUUUUUUCAUGAGUUCAGAUCUCUAAUUGUUUUAAUGAAUACAUUUCCUAUCUCUCUCUAUGAAUUGUUAAGGUAUUGCUUACUUGUACAUUUUGUAUCUCUCUCAACAAAAAUUGUGACAUUACUUUUACUAGGUUUGGAUAUUUUUCUAGGAAAAUUUAACAGAUGUGUCAAAAAAUAAAUUUGAGGUUUGUCAGUUUUUAAGAAGUAUUAAACACUCCAGGCCUUUACAUUUACCUUAACCAGAGUCAUGCUGAAGUCUAGCAAAUAUUUCCUUAUCUUGUUGUUGGUUAAACUUGGUAUGAAUUCAGUGUGUUUGAAGCUGUCUUUUCAAUUGUUUUUGAGGAUUAUUAAAGGGUCGGAGAUCCAAUGGUGACAACUUAAGACAGGGGUUACAGAAGAAUUAUUAUUUUUCUUGAUUAAUUAUGCUUUAAAUUGUAUUGGUAUUACAUAUGUAACAUAUACUUCCAUGUAGCAAUUUGCUGUACAAGAAUUGUAGGAGAUCCUAUUAGCUUGAUGUUUGGAUAGUAGAAUCCUCAAUAGUAAGUAUGUUUUUGUAGCAGACCGACAUCCUCCAGAUGGGGUUGACGUAGGUCUAGGCACGGAAAUGAAUCUUUGUGGUGGCAUGAUUGUCAAGCAUGUUAAAAGUUAACUCAGAACAUGAAACUAUGAGGAUCCACCAUAUUUCUUAAUAAAACAUGUAGCAGGAAACGACACAGGUAGUUUUAGAGUGGGAUUUUUGCACAAUGAGAUGAAGAACAUGAUCAGAUGGAUUAUGCGGUUCAUCAAUUCUUAAGUACGUAUGGUCUCAAAUUUGACCAGGUUAUUGCAAAGCAUGGACUUGUUUUGCUAUAGAAUAUACAACUAUAUUAUUGCCUUUAUAAUUAGCUGUCAGGGUUGCUACAUAAAAUAUUAUGAUUUUCGAUCAGACCAGAAAUUUUUCAACUGGAUGUUUUUCACUUGUCACCCUUAACAUGCUUAUGAAAUGAAUUGUUAAACAUCUUGAAUAUAUAUUUGAUGAUAUACUAUAAUAUACUAUAUGUUAUGGUAUACAAAUACAAUCAACUAUCUUAUGGUUUGGUGUAGUUUUGGUUAGUAUUUUUUAUCUGUGUAGGUAAAUAUGUUUUUGAACAGUUGUUCACAAAACAUCAUAUAGAUUAUUUAACAUAUAUAUGUACCAAGUUGUACUUUGAAUAAAAAUAUCUAUCUAUCUAUCUGUAGUUAUCUCAUAUCUGGUUCACAGCUUUGCAGCGAACCGCCCUUUUUAUGGCGGUUGACAGAGUCUCUGUUUUCCUCCGUCAAUGUGGCAGAAUUCGCUGCAUAGAAUCUUAAUGUUAACUAUGAAAUUUUAGGUUUUUGGAUAAUACAGACUACACUUGUGUAUCCCACGGUGUUUUCUAAAUUUAAAGCACCAGUGUAUCCCACGGUGCAUCUUUACAUUUUCAUAUAUAUCUAUCUAUCUAUCUGCAUUUUGCAGCAAGGUUGCCAUAUUAUCUUCGGGUAACCAACCAUAUAUCUAUCUACAUAUACAUAUACAUCUAUCUAUAUAUAUAUAUAUAUAUAUAUCAUAUGAAUCUAUAUUAUGAAUAAAAGCUGUGGCCAGAUAUCGCCAAACCAAUAUAUGUAUUUUGUUUUAAUGGCACCAUCUGAGAUAAUGGAAUUUAAGUAAAUAGACUUAAAUUCAGUUAUCGCUGGGGCCACUGACGGAUUGUGUUUCAUGUUUUAGAUUUACCUAACAUGAGUGACGUUAUAUUCUGUGACGUAAUUUAGUCCUUUACAGAAUUUCAUCGCAGCAAGCAAGCUGUUUAAAUUUCGUAAGCGGUAAAAUUGAAAACCCGCCCUCCCACUCCUUUUUUUUUUACGAGAUACUGCUCUUUUGUAUUUAUUUUUCAGGUUUUUGUCGGUGACAGUGGUAAUACAGAUUUGACUGAUGAUGUUAACUUGUUUGCGGUUGAGAAAAGUGACUUUUAUUUGAACUUUGAGCAUCAUAAAUAGAUUCCCGUAAUGGCAGAAUUCGCUGCAUAGAAUCUUAAUGUUAACUAUGAAAUUUUAGGUUUUUGGAUAAUAGAGACUACACUUGUGUAUCCCACGGUGUUUUCUAAAUUUAAAGCACCAGUGUAUCCCACGGUGCAUCUUUACAUUUUCAUAUAUAUCUAUCUAUAUAUCUGCAUUUUGCAGCAAGGUUGCCAUAUUAUCUUCGGGUAACCAACCAUUUAUCUAUCUACAUAUACAUAUACAUCUAUCUAUCUAUAUAUAUAUAUAUAUAUCAUAUGAAUCUAUAUUAUGAAUAAAAGCUGUGGCCAGAUAUCGCCAAACCAUA